CUGCGCGCGCGUUUGCGCGCUCGCGCGCGGCGACCCGUCUGUCUUCUUCUUUUUUUUUUUUUCUUUUUAAAGUGUAACCUGGUUUAUUGGGCUCUCGGCGUAUUCUUGCGUUCCUUCUGCACUGGGACAAGACACCACUGCACUAUUGGACUACGGCAAGCUGGUGCCGUCCGGUGGAGCUUCAUACAGGAACUACUGCCUUACCUGCUGGUGUCACAACGUUGGAUGAACGCACAAAAAGCGCGGAACGAGCUUUUAUAUAGAGCAAAAUAAAUAUUUCCUCAUUGCACAAAA